rnacentral:rRNA from 1 species
AUUGAACGCUGGCGGCAGGCCUAACACAUGCAAGUCGAGCGGCAGCGGGAAAGUAGCUUGCUACUUUUGCCGGCGAGCGGCGGACGGGUGAGUAACGCCUGGGAAAUUGCCCAGUCGAGGGGGAUAACAGUUGGAAACGACUGCUAAUACCGCAUACGCCCUACGGGGGAAAGCAGGGGACCUUCGGGCCUUGCGCGAUUGGAUAUGCCCAGGUGGGAUUAGCUAGUUGGUGAGGUAAUGGCUCACCAAGGCGACGAUCCCUAGCUGGUCUGAGAGGAUGAUCAGCCACACUGGAACUGAGACACGGUCCAGACUCCUACGGGAGGCAGCAGUGGGGAAUAUUGCACAAUGGGGGAAACCCUGAUGCAGCCAUGCCGCGUGUGUGAAGAAGGCCUUCGGGUUGUAAAGCACUUUCAGCGAGGAGGAAAGGUUGUUGGCUAAUAUCCAACAGCUGUGACGUUACUCGCAGAAGAAGCACCGGCUAACUCCGUGCCAGCAGCCGCGGUAAUAC